UCGGGCGCAGGUGGACCUGGCGAGCGGCGAGAACUUCAGGCGCCGCCGGGUGGCGGACGAGCGGGCGCAGGAGGCGACAAACGGCAGUCGGUCUCCGGUGGCGCUGAGCCGCGUCAUCGCGGCUCUGGCGCAGAGUUCAGGUCCGGUCCCGUACAGGGACUCCAUCCUGACGCGUGUCCUGCAAGACUUGCUGGGGGCCGGGGGGGGGGGGCACCAAGACCACCAUGGUCGCCACUGUGCCGCAGUUCUUCAAUGACGUUGAGGAGACGCGGGUCACGCUGGAGAACGCCAGCAAGGCCAGGAACAUCAUCAUCGAGCCCGAGGUGGACCAAACGGUCAGAGAGCGGGUGCCCACGGAGGUGAGGCCGGCACCGCGGCGCACGCCGGCUUCCCAUCAACGACACGCUGCGCUGUUCGCCAUCUGAUGCACAACAUGGGGCCAAAGUGAC